CUCCUUGUAGGCACAGUGUACAUGCAACUCUUGUUCCUUGACCUAUUGGGGCACAUCCCGCGAUUUACCUCCCUCACAAAGUUUUAGGGGCGAAAUGGUGGGGGUCCUCAAGAUUGGGGUUCAACCUUUUUUUUAACCUGCGAGAGCCGACUUCAUUGGCCAGAGAAAAGGGUUGAAAUAGACAACUUCUCUUGAUUUAAAAUGCACGCCAUCUUCACGUGUUGUCUCCAUCAACAUUGAAUGUUGACACAAUAGUCCAAAGCAAGACUGGAGACCAUGCAUUGCCGGCUACUUCAACGGAUUUAAUGGUGGUUGCCGGAGAUAAUGUUUGUCACGGCUAACUAAACACCCAUAGGAGGAAAAAUCUUGACCAAGACAUUCAGCCGAACACCUUCUGGGCAUCAUCAAAAUAUGAAACUUUCCUUGAGAAAUUGCAUAUACUUACUUCGAAGUUUCAUCAAAUUCAGAUGGAAUUGCUUGAAAAGAUUCUUUUGUUGUUGGAAAAAAUAUUUUGCUCACGGCAGCCAUUUGUCCUCAUUUUUCGUGGUUGUCUUAUGAAACAUAUCUGUGGCUCAUUU
rnacentral:lncRNA from 1 species